ACAACAUUCGGACCAUUGGUCUACCGAGCAAUUUGACCCGCUCGGUGGAAGAUCUUCCCUCCGUCGU
rnacentral:pre_miRNA from 1 species